UGGGGCUAUGUAGAAUAAGUAGUUAUUUUCAGAAUGUAGAUACCUAGUGUAUAGUGUAAAUAGAGAUAGAUAACUGCUAAAAAGAUAAUUCAGUAGGUAGAAUAGAUGAAUAGUCAGAAAAAGUAGUUAUCAUCUGUAGUAUAGGAGUUGGAAUCUCGGGGUAGUAUAAGGAGGAUGGGAGAGGGGAAGAAAAUGCCAGACUGUGACAGUUAUAAGCCGAGGGCCAGAUUGUGAGAAUCGUAAGCCGAAGGCCAGAUUGUGAUAGUCAUGAGCCGAGGGCCAUUGCUGUGAUAGUGUGAGCCGAGGUAAGCUUGGUGCUACCUCUUUUCUUUUGUUUGUUAUUUUCUUUGAAUAAGAGGAUUGAGAGUUUUUGAAUAUUGUGAAGUGAAUUAUGAAAUAGAAAUAUGAUUGAUAUUAUUUGAAAAGAAGAAAGAUUGAAUGCUGAAAUCUGAUUGUAGUUCAAUAGAGAGAAUGAGUCUGUGUUUGUGUGAAACACCAUAAUAUGAAUGGCAGUUCUGUGUGAAGAAUUCCAGUGAUUGGAAUGAAGGUAAUUGUGUGUUGAAAGCUGUGAGGGCAUAGUAUUACAGUUGGAGAUUAUGAGGGUGAAUAUAUUAGUGGAAAUAGCAGUUAUUGGUAUGACUGAAUUGUU
rnacentral:lncRNA from 1 species